CCCAAACAAUCUGCCAGAGUUUUGAAGAAAAAUGCGAUGUGAUCGUGUUGCAAAGUAUAUGAAGAAACAGUACGAAAAGUAAUCUGGCUGAAGCAAUGGGACCCAGAAGGAAGGGGAUGAUUAUCAGUCUUUGAGCCUGUAGAUGAAGUUGGAAAGAAGUCCUUGUCAUUCUUUUAUGGAAGAUCUAACCCAUUGCCUGCUGUCCAAGGAAGAAGCCCUAUUCUGCUUGUUACUGGACACUGAGAGUGAAAGAAGUAAACUAAUUAUAAGAGUGAUCCUUUCAGAGAACCUCCUCUUGGAAGACUUUUAAAGGGCUCCAAAUUAAGCCAUAUCCAUUUUCUGGAUCCCUGAAGUGGCUCAGGCAAG
rnacentral:lncRNA from 1 species